AGGUGGUGGUUUUCUCUCUUGAGCUAAAGGCAGAUAGAAGCCUAAAGCCAGAACCAGAGGAUUCUGAGUUAGGAGGGUGGAACUAAAAUGUGACCUGGCCGGAGGGCCAAGGCAUGAGAAGAGAGGACACCACAAGACCAGAGCUACUAUUGGCAGUGGGUGCUAGAGAAGAAAGAGCCGCUAUUCUGCGCCCAGCGAUGAGGGGGCAUGCCUGAGACUCUUUCCCCGUGGGGACAUUACCGAAGUGAGCGCUUGUGUUACCCCAGUGCUCCAGAAUUGUUCAUCGUGGAUCAAAAUGUAAUACAGAGGUCAGCUGUUAACUUUGUAGAGACUCGGGGCAAGGAAAGAACCGAUCUCUCAGGAGUUCAGAAUGUGAGGUGCAGGUCAGAGAAGAAAGUCCAAGGAAACAGCCAGACUGCAGCAAAAACUACGACUGGGUCCCAAACAAAGAAUGCUAAAGGCAAAGUUUGGGGAAAUUCAGUUCUGUACUUCACAGCUGGCCCUUUCUCUGUAAUGGGCUAAAUCAGAACCCUGCUUCCAAACCUUCCAAAUGUUCAGGGACCUGAACUCUGCCGCAUGGAUCCAUCUCUAAUCUGAAGUCUCUGAAACUUUGGAGUCAUAAAAACUGGUCUAGGAAUCUCACGGGCACAGGCUUUGCCAUUGUCUUUUGGGGGCUUCUUGUUCUAAUUCAGCGGAAAAUAUGCUGACAACAGCCUCUCUUCAGACCAUUUUGGGUCUUUUGUGUUGUGGCUGGAACCCAGUAGAUUAUGGAGAUUGGCUGACCAGAUUAGCCCCAUAUCCAGUCUCUGACAGUGACCAGCACCAGAUGCUUCACAGGAAGGUGUAAACAACCCCACAACCAGCAGAUGUGGGAUAUUUUGCCCCCCACAUUAGGUUUCCUCCUGAUCUCUGAUAGCUAGAGAUCACCUGAAGCCCUGCCACAGGAGAUUUAAUAUUCCUUCCAACAUUUUUAUUGUCAUUCAUAACAACUCUGGAUAUUUUUGAUGCCCAUAUAAAUGUUAAGUCCCUUUCUGAUCUGGCUAAUGUCUUAGCAUCAACAACUUCAUAGGGCAGUGCGUUCCACAGCCACCUGCAUAUUGGGUGAAAAAAUAUUUUCUUGUAUCACUUUUGAAUUUGCCUCCUUUUCAUUUCAUUGCAUGCCCCCUUGUCUUUGCGUUACAAGAUUGUGUUAUGGACAAUAAUCAAAGUGGAUUAAACAAAGGCUAAAUACAGAUUUUUCAGUCAGGAAGUUGCUUCACUGGGAGAGGACACCUGGAAGGUUUACCAAAGGCAGUGUCAGGCCAACCAAAACCCUGAAUCGAACACAUCAGGGUGUUUGCAGCGUGCGUUUGAUUUGUGCUUUGUGUGCCCCUCACUUAUGGAAACCAAUGUGCCUAUCCCUAAAGAGAAGGUGGGUCUGCCCCCUCCCCCCUCCAGUCCUGCACCACCCCAGCCAUCCAAAUUAUAAACAUGCUAAUUAAUUUAUUGGACAGAAAGGGGGGAAAAGUGGUGGGGGGGAAUGAAUCAAUUGACAAAUUGAAAUGUCAUUUCCCAGUCUGCAGCUGGAUCCUGCCUUGUCUCCUCUCUCUCUCUCUCUCUCUUUUUCUCUUUUGUAUUUUGAUUUGGUUAUAA